AGAUGAGUGAAAUCAUUAGGUACUUGUCUUUCUCUGCCUGGCUUAUUUCACUGAGCAUAAUACCCUCUAGCUCCAUCCAUGUUGUUGCAAAAGUAUUAACACUAACUUCAUUGAAGUUUUGGUGAAACUCAAUUACAAACUCUCUAGAUCUGACAUCCAUUUUAGAGAUUAUUCUGAUGCGUAACCAACAUUGAGAACCUCUUCCAUAAGUAUCUUCUAACUCCUAAAUGGAUUAGUGCCCAACUGGGCAUUUGUGUCCAUCAGAGUCUCCUAGCCACAUGGUUCAUCUCAAGAAAAUAAGUGCUAAACUUAGGAAGAACAUAGAGCAACUACCUAAGGACUGCUGGGACAAUGAGAUGCUAAUGUGUUAUUGGAUCAAAUAGUGAAAGCAUCUUGAUGCUGUAAAAGCUGUACAAAUAUUAUUUCAAAUAAUCGACUACUUAUUUCAGGGCCAAAGACUCCAGAGGCUACCCUUCCCUCUGAGCCUUAUACUUGUCCCCCAAAAUAGUAUACAGGAGAGAAAAUGUGGCAAGAAAUCUGUUUCUCUGGAAAGUCAAGAGAAAUGAGUGAUCCAAGAUGAGAAAAGGGACAGGCAGCGAAAGACAAGGAAGCAACUGGAAAAAUAGCAUAUCUGAUGGUCUCCAAGAUAUAUGAAUCUUUAGAUGGCCAGUAAAAGAGCUCUGAUACGGAAAGAUUUCACUCUGGACUGCUUUCCUCUAAAAGAAUUCUGAGCUACUUUCUGGAAAAAUUAUGACUAACAGGUUUUUAAAAAAAUAAACUUAAUGACAGUUCCAGGUGUCACAUGCUGGAUAAGGGCCAGGCUUGGAAUGAGACUUCCUGUUGAAAAUGGUCUUGGGACUAGGACUGAAUCAUAACACUGGCUUCCCUGGUUCUCCAGCUUGCAAUGCAUAGUUGUGGGACUUCUCAACCUUCAAAACCAAGACAAGCAAGGAAACAACUGAGUCACUGGAGGAUAUGCAGAUUUCUGGGAUGACAGGGAGGUGGGUCUAGAAAGCUGCUCCACAGGAAUCGUCUAACAAAGCCACUUCCGCAGCACCUGGAGACUUUGGGACCCUUGAGAGUUGUAGACCUUCCUUACGGGAGGAAGAACUGCGAGAAGCUGGAUUCAGAUCCAAUCCCUCCUGCAGGAAGAGUUCAAGAGUCUAGUCCAAGCUGCCC